UAAUGCUUGGGAACUUGCCUUUGCGAGGGGGAUAACAGUUGGAAACGACUGCUAAUACCGCAUAAUGUCUACGGACCAAACGGGGCUUAGGCUUCGGCGCAGAGAGAGGCCCAAGUGAGAUUAGCUAGUUGGUGGGGUAAAGGCUCACCAAGGCGACGAUCUCUAGCUGUUCUGAGAGGAAGAUCAGCCACACUGGGACUGAGACACGGCCCAGACUCCUACGGGAGGCAGCAGUGGGGAAUAUUGCACAAUGGGGGGAACCCUGAUGCAGCCAUGCCGCGUGUGUGAAGAAGGCCUUCGGGUUGUAAAGCACUUUCAGUUGUGAGGAAAAGUGAGUAGUUAAUACCUGCUCACCGUGACGUUAACAACAGAAGAAGCACCGGCUAACUCCGUGCCAGCAGCCGCGGUAAUACGGAGGGUGCGAGCGUUAAUCGGAAUUACUGGGCGUAAAGCGCACGCAGGCGGUUUGUUAAGCUAGAUGUGAAAGCCCCGAGCUCAACUUGGGAUGGUCAUUUAGAACUGGCAGACUAGAGUCUUGGAGAGGGGAGUGGAAUUCCAGGUGUAGCGGUGAAAUGCGUAGAUAUCUGGAGGAACAUCAGUGGCGAAGGCGACUCCCUGGCCAAAGACUGACGCUCAUGUGCGAAAGUGUGGGUAGCGAACAGGAUUAGAUACCCUGGUAGUCCACACCGUAAACGCUGUCUACUAGCUGUUUGUGGCUUUAAGCCGUGAGUAGCGAAGCUAACGCGAUAAGUAGACCGCCUGGGGAGUACGGCCGCAAGGUUAAAACUC
rnacentral:rRNA from 1 species